rnacentral:pre_miRNA from 1 species
CAUGUACUCCCUCCGUUCGGAAUUACUUGUCGUGGAAAUGGAUGUAUCUAGAUGUAUUUUAGUUUUAGAUACAUCCAUUUCUGAGACAAGUAAUUCCGGACGGAGGGAGUAAUAA